CGGCAACAGCUCAAAUUUGAAAUCUGGCUCUUCUAGGGUCCGAGUUGUAAUUUGUAGAAGAUGCUUCGGGUGUGGCUCCGGUCUAAGUUCCUUGGAACAGGACGUCAUAGAGGGUGAGAAUCCCGUCUUUGGCACGGACCCCCAGGGCUUCUGUGAUGCGCUCUCGAA
rnacentral:rRNA from 1 species